rnacentral:rRNA from 1 species
AAUGACUCUCGGCAACGGAUAUCUCGGCUCUCGCAUCGAUGAAGAACGUAGCGAAAUGCGAUACUUGGUGUGAAUUGCAGAAUCCCGUGAAUCAUCGAGUCUUUGAACGCAAGUUGCGCCCGAAGCCUUUCGGCCAAGGGCACGACUGCCUGGGUGUCACGC